GAUGAACGCUGGCGGCGUGCCUAAUACAUGCAAGUCGAACGCUGGAAAUCUAGCUUGCUAGAUUGAAGGAGUGGCGAACGGGUGAGUAAUACAUAAGCAACCUACCCACGAAGACUGGGAUAAUCUCUGGAAACGGGGACUAAUACCGGAUAGGUAAUCGGAAGGCAUCUUCUGAUUAUUAAAGGUUAAAAACACUGGUGGAUGGGCUUAUGGCGCAUUAGUUAGUUGGUGAGGUAACGGCCCACCAAGACGAUGAUGCGUAGCCGGCCUGAGAGGGUGAACGGCCACAUUGGGACAGAGACACGGCCCAGACGCCUACGGGAGGCAGCAGUAGGUAAUUUUCGGCAAUGGGGGAAACCCUGACCGAGCAACGCCGCGUGAGUGAGGACGGCCUUCGGGUUGUAAAGCUCUGUUGUAAGGGAAGAACGGUAGAUAGAGAAUAUCUAAAUGACGGUACCUUACCAGAAAGCCACGGCUAACUACGUG
rnacentral:rRNA from 1 species